rnacentral:rRNA from 1 species
CAGUAGCCGCGGGAAUACGUAGGUGGCAAGCGUUAUCCGGAAUUACUGGGUGUAAAGGGAGCGUAGACGGUUAAACAAGUCUGAAGUGAAAUGCCGGGGCUCAACCCCGGAGCUGCUUUGGGAACUGUAGAACUGGAGUGUCGGAGGGGUAAGCGGAAUUCCCAGUGUAGCGGUGAAAUGCGUAGAUAUUGGGAGGAACACCGGCGGCGAAGGCGGCCUACUGGACGACAACUGACGUUGAGGCUCGAAGGCGUGGGUAGCAAACAGGAUUAGAGACCCGGGUAGUCCCUGUCUCUUAUAC